CUUUUAGUUCAGUUCGGUAGAAUGUGGGUAUUCAAAACCCAAUGUCGUAGGUUCAAAUCUUAUAAAG
rnacentral:tRNA from 1 species